GACGGAGGGGGCGAGCGUUGUUCGGAAUUACUGGGCGUAAAGGGCGCGUAGGCGGUCAUGCAAGUCGGUGGUGAAAGCCCACGGCUCAACCGUGGAAUUGCCUUCGAAACUGCAUGACUUGAGUACGGAAGAGGAGAGCGGAAUUCCCAGUGUAGCGGUGAAAUGCGUAGAUAUUGGGAGGAACACCGGUGGCGAAGGCGGCUCUCUGGUCCGAAACUGACGCUGAGGCGCGAAAGCUAGGGUAGCAAAC
rnacentral:rRNA from 1 species